rnacentral:rRNA from 1 species
GAUGAACGCUGGCGGCGUGCCUAACACAUGCAAGUCGAGCGAACGGACGAGAAGCUUGCUUCUCUGAUGUUAGCGGCGGACGGGCGAGUAACACGUGGAUAACCUACCUAUAAGACGGGGAUAACUUCGGGAAACCGUAGCUAAUACCGGAUAAUACUUUGAACCGCAUGGUUCAAAAGUGAAAGACGCUCUUGCUGUUACUUAUAGAUGGAUCCGCGCUGCAUUAGCUAGUUGGUAAGGUAACGGCUUACCAAGGCAACGAUGCAUAGCCGACCUGAGAGGGUGAUCAGCCACACUGGAACUGAGACACGGUCCAGACUCCUACGGGAGGCAGCAGUAGGGAAUCUUCCGCAAUGGGCGAAAGCCUGACGGAGCAACGCCGCGUGAGUGAUGAAGGUCUUCGGAUCGUAAAACUCUGUUAUUAGGGAAGAACAUAUGUGUAAGUAACUGUGCACAUCUUGACGGUACCUAAUCAGAAAGCCACGGCUAACUACGUG